AUUUAUGUGUUUAACCGAAUGGGUGGUCUGUUUACAUCUUUCUUUAGAUGCUGUCUGUUAAGUUAAGAAAAAGCAUCGUAACUGCCCAGAAGCUGUUGCACUUGGCACGACCCACACCAAAAUGUUGGCCAUUG